AUGAAAUUUGUCCUUUAUACUUUGUUCCUUUGUGGAUUCGCCCUUGAAAUCAAUGCAGGACGUGGUUUUCAAAGAAACGCUCUUGAAUGGAUCAAUCAGGAAGUAUCUAUUGUGGCAUGUGAGGAAUCAGCGGUUCAAAUAUUGUGUGG